GAUGAACGCUGGCGGCGUGCCUAAUACAUGCAAGUCGAGCGAAUGGAUUAAGAGCUUGCUCUUAUGAAGUUAGCGGCGGACGGGUGAGUAACACAUGGGUAACCUGCCCAUAAGACUGGGAUAACUCCGGGAAACCGGGGCUAAUACCGGAUAACAUCUUGAACCGCAUGGUUCGAAAUUGAAAGGCGGCUUCGGAUGUCCCUUAUGGCUUGACCCGCGUCGCAUUAGCUCGUUGGUGAGGUAACGGCUCACCAAGGCAACGAUGCGUAGCCGACCUGAGAGGGUGAGCGGCCACACUGGGACCGAGACACGGCCCAGACUCCUACGGGAGGCAGCAGUAGGGAAUCUUCCGCAAUGGACGAAAGUCUGACGGAGCAACGCCGCGUGAGUGAUGAAGGCUUUCGGGUCGUAAAACUCUGUUGUUAGGGAAGAACAAGUGCUAGUUGAAUAAGCUGACACCUUGACGGUACCUAACCAGAAAGCCACGGCUAACUACGUGCCAGCCGCCGCCGUAA
rnacentral:rRNA from 1 species